UUACGACCAUAUCACGUUGAAACACCGGUUCACAUAUGAUCACUGAAGUUAAGCAACGUCGUGUCUGCUCUGGAACUUGAUGGAUGACCGCUUGAGAAUACCAGCUGUUGUAA